AAAUUGAAGAGUUUGAUCAUGGCUCAGAUUGAACGCUGGCGGCAGGCCUAACACAUGCAAGUCGAACGGUAACAGGAAGCAGCUUGCUGCUUCGCUGACGAGUGGCGGACGGGUGAGUAAUGUCUGGGAAACUGCCUGGUGGAGGGGGAUAACUACUGGAAACGGUGGCUAAUACCGCAUAACGUCGCAAGACCAAAGAGGGGGACCUUCGGGCCUCUUGCCAUCAGAUGUGCCCAGAUGGGAUUAGCUUGUUGGUGAGGUAACGGCUCACCAAGGCGACGAUCCCUAGCUGGUCUGAGAGGAUGACCAGCCACACUGGAACUGAGACACGGUCCAGACUCCUACGGGAGGCAGCAGUGGGGAAUAUUGCACAAUGGGCGCAAGCCUGAUGCAGCCAUGC
rnacentral:rRNA from 1 species